GACGUAGGAUGCAAGCGUUGUCCGGAUUUAUUGGGCGUAAAGAGUUCGUAGGUGGUUUGUUAAGUCUGAUGUUAAAGACUGGGGCUCAACCCUGGGAGUGCAUUGAAUACUGGCAGACUGGAGUACAGUAGAGGCAAGCGGAAUUCCCAGUGUAGCGGUGAAAUGCGUAGAUAUUGGGAAGAACACCGGUGGCGCAAGCGGCUUGCUGGGCUGUAACUGACGCUGAGGAACGAAAGCUAGGGUAGCGAAUGGG
rnacentral:rRNA from 1 species